UACGUAGGGUGCAAGCGUUGUCCGGAAUUAUUGGGCGUAAAGAGCUCGUAGGCGGUCUGUCGCGUCGGCUGUGAAAACCCGGAGCUCAACUCCGGGCCUGCAGUCGAUACGGGCAAACUGGAGUGUUGCAGGGGAGACUGGAAUUCCUGGUGUAGCGGUGAAAUGCGCAGAUAUCAGGAGGAACACCGGUGGCGAAGGCGGUUCUCUGGGCAUUACCUGACGCUGAGGAGCGAAAGCAUGGGGAGCGAACAGG
rnacentral:rRNA from 1 species